CUGUCAGAUCCUGCGUCAGCGGAGUUGUAUUGUAAUGAAAAUGGAGAGUGGAGUGGCCAACCUCCAAAAUGCAUAGAGAUUAAAUGUGCAGUACCUCCGAUAGAAAAUGGUUAUGUGCCUGAUCACAAUAUCCGAGAGUACAAAGAACAUGAUGUCCUGGACUUUAGGUGUAAUGUUGGAUAUAAACCCACUGAAGACAGACCC